UGGGGAAUAUUGCACAAUGGGCGCAAGCCUGAUGCAGCGACGCCGCGUGAGGGAUGGAGGCCUUCGGGUUGUAAACCUCUUUCGCCAGUGAAGCAGGCCAUCUUCUUUGUGGGGUGGUUGACGGUAGCUGGAUAAGAAGCGCCGGCUAACUACGUGCCAGCAGCCGCGGUAAUACGUAGGGCGCGAGCGUUGUCAGGAAUUAUUGGGCGUAAAGAGCUCGUAGGCGGCUGGUCGCGUCUGUCGUGAAAUCCCCUGGCUUAACUGGGGGCUUGCGGUGGGUACGGGCCGGCUUGAGUGCGGUAGGGGAGACUGGAAUUCCUGGUGUAGCGGUGGAAUGCGCAGAUAUCAGGAGGAACACCGGUGGCGAAGGCGGGUCUCUGGGCCGUUACUGACGCUGAGGAGCGAAAGCGUGGGGAGCGAACAGG
rnacentral:rRNA from 1 species